rnacentral:rRNA from 1 species
GUACGGGAGGCAGCAGUGGGGAAUAUUGGACAAUGGGCGCAAGCCUGAUCCAGCAAUACCGCGUGUGUGAAGAAGGCCUUAGGGUUGUAAAGCACUUUCAAUGGGGAGGAACACCUGCCGGCCAAUACCCGGCAGACUGACAUUACCCAUACAAGAAGCACCGGCUAACUCCGUGCCAGCAGCCGCGGUAAUACGGAGGGUGCAAGCGUUAAUCGGAAUUACUGGGCGUAAAGCGUGCGUAGGCGGCCCGUUAAGUCAGAUGUGAAAGCCCCGGGCUCAACCUGGGAACUGCAUUUGAAACUGGCGGGCUAGAGUUGGGUAGAGGUAAGUGGAAUUUCAGGUGUAGCGGUGAAAUGCGUAGAUAUCUGAAGGAACACCAGUGGCGAAGGCGACUUACUGGACCCGAACUGACGCUGAGGUACGAAAGCGUGGGUAGCAAACAGGAUUAGAUACCCCGGU